UUAUACACAUAUCCGAGUCGGCCACCUAUCGUUUUUAACCUUAUUAGACCCUUACUCGGAUUCGGCAGCGGAAUACUCCUGCCUCCCUGCGAAAACGGGAUCCAGGAACAGCGCGGUCGGCGUCUUCCCCUCCAUCGGCGAACGGCAACGGCGUGCGGGCUCUUCCGCGGGUUUUCUGGAAGGAGGAAGACUUAGAGUUCAUGUGACAAGUUCAUAUGAAGUCUUAUGAGAAUUUAUAUUUUUGCCAUUUGGAUUUGGACCCACAGCUGUGAGGAAAUUUUUUUGGUACCAGCAGCAAGAUGAAUGGAGAAGAUCGUGUUCCACGGCCUCUAUUUGGGGGCGCCAUAUCUAGUUGCUUUCCUUCGAGGUUUCAGGAUGUAAGCAACAUACGGGAAGUCCCCGAUCAUCAGGAGGUGUUUGCAGAUCCCGAUCGGGAUGAGAGCCUUAUUUUUGAGCUACUAGAUCUGAAACACGAGGUUGGAGACGGUGGAAGCGCUGUUUGGUUCCUGCAGGACAUUGCCCGUGAACAAGAUGCUGAAGAAACCAUGGUCCUUGAGCAUUCUGGCACUCUUGAGGCUGUUGGUUUAACAAGCCUAAAUGGACCUGCAAUAGUUACAACUGCCAUCGGUCGAAUGGCCAUUGCAAAGGGAAGGCAAGGAAGAGAGGCACAGAAUUUGGUUAGGGUAUAUCUGGCAAAUUUGCGUCUUAAGGAAGUUUCGACUGACGUGGUGAUCACUGCAUAUGAGCCUAUUUUAAUAAACCCAUUGAGUGAAAGUGCAAGGACCGUAAGAGCUGGUCUGGCCAUACCUGCUGCGCAGGCUGGAUGCCUCCCGAUGGCUGAAGUCUUCAAACUUGCUAUCACAAACUUCAAGAUCCAUGAUUGGAGUCUUUUUGGCUCUGGGGCCUGACACAUCUCCAUCACCAACGUAAAGAAGGCAUAAGAUGAUGAACUAUUUCUCACUGGUUGGGGUUUUGUGAAGGAUGUCUGUACCUUUGGUUCUGGACUUGAAGAGGUUCCUCCAUGUCAGAGCUUUCAUCAAAAACUAGUCAGAGUCGGAAUUUGGCAUCAUCUGGUUUUGAUGUUGAUUGGAAAUCCAAAAUGUUCAAUGACCAACACAUGUAUAACUUGGAUGUCUCCUUGGGCAUCCAAACACCCUAAUACUUUUUGUUACCAAUAAUUAAUUUGAAUGGCUGCAUGGAUUUCCAUGCCGGAGCCGAGAAUCCAAUGACUUGAAAA